AAAGACAACUGGUCUUAUAAAAAUCCUAACCUGUGUAAAUCGGCAAUAUAGAGCCUAUCUCUUGCUUUCUGGCAGCAAAUCCAAAUCUGGCAUUCGACCUGGCAAGGAAUAAAAGAGCAGGACCCCCAAUCCAAAACCAAAUAAAUCUCCAUUGAUUUUGAUCUGUGACGUCGCAAAUUCUAACAGCGGCCUCCUCCGAACAUGAUGAGGGAGCUCGUUAAAGAUGAAGUGGAGCCCAUUUCAUACGUUAACACUAUCAGGCCAGAUUCUUUACUUGGAUCAUGAACUUGAAUGAAGCUUGAGGAAUGAGGACUUUUGGUGACACACGAUGGUUUUACGGCUCUCCAUGGAGCAGUGAUUGGCAAAAAGGAGGCCAUUAUCAGCAAUCUUUUAAGGAAAGUUAGGAUAGGGACGGUGCCCCUCUGCUACAUCAUGCAGUUCAAGUUGAUGUCAUGCAAACUGUGAAGUUACUGAUCAAAUACAGACUUGAUGUAAAUGUUGCAGAUAAGGUGUGGUAUAUAAGUGGCCACCUUUCUGUUGAGUUAUCUGGAUUUACUAAAUACCUGCUUUAUUACAUAAAGGACGGAUGGACUCCAUUGCAUGUAGCUAUGCAAAGUCACCUAGAGACAUAACAAAAGUAUUGUUGGUAAAUGGUGCUGACAAAACAAGAAAUAAUAAGAAAAUGAAUGAAGAUAGACAAGUCUUUUCUGUGGGAGCAGUGUCCCUACAUGCCAAUUCUUGGUUAGGGGGAAUGGCUUACGGAAAACUUUAGUCUUUAAUAUAGAACAAAGUUGUGGAAAGCAGAAAGCAGAGCGAAGCUGCAAGAUGCCACUUACGCUUUUUGGAAUUAAGCGAAGCUUAAAUGGAAAAAACAUCAAGCGCUUUUUCUACCAAGUCUGCUUAUGGAGGGGGCUUUUUCAAGUGGAAAACAGGCUCAAAAUGCUUAAGCGGUCGUGUUACUACAUAAUGGAAACAUGAUAAGUUGAACAACAACCACAGCUCUUGGAUCCUAUCUUACUUGAAAGAAACGAAAUCAUAAUCUGAUGUGGAAAGCAAUAUAUCAUUGAAGCUACAGUGCAGAUUUGAUACCAAAACUUCUUAACCCUACCACUGGCUCUUGAC